rnacentral:tRNA from 1 species
GCGCUCGUAGCUCAGUGGAUAGAGCAUCAGCUUGCGGAGCUGA